rnacentral:rRNA from 1 species
AUACGGAAGGUCCGGGCGUUAUCCGGAUUUAUUGGGUUUAAAGGGGGCGCAGGCGGAGAUGCAAGCGUGACGUCAAAUUUCGGGGCUCAACCCCGUCUCGCGUCGCGAACUGCGUCCCUUGGUUGCGGGAAGGGGAGGCGGAACUCGUGGUGUAGCGGUGAAAUGCAUAGAUAUCACGAAGAACUCCGAUCGCGAAGGCAGCCUUCCGGCCCGUCAACGACGCUCAUGCUCGAAGGUGCGGGUAUCAAACAGGAUUAGAUACCCUGGUAGUCCGCACAGUAAACGAUGGACACCCGCGGUUUGGCCUGUAUGGCUGAGCCGCCAAGCGAAAGCGUUAAGUGUCCCACCUGGGGAGUACGCCGGCAACGGUGAAACUCAAAGGAAUUGACGGGG